AAGCUCGUAGUUGAAUUUCGGGAUCAAUGUUUCGGUCAUGCCGUUGGUAUGUACUGAUAUUAUUGGUUUCUCACCUUCUAAAGAACCGUAAUGCCAUUAAUUUGGUGUCACGGGGAAUUAGGACUGUUACCUUGAAAAAAUUAGAGUGUUUAAAGCAGGCUCACGCUUGAAUACAUUAGCAUGGAAUAAUGAAAUAGGACAUCCGAUUCUAUUUUGUUGGUUUCUAGGAUCGAUGUAAUGAUUAAUAGGGAUAGUUGGG
rnacentral:rRNA from 1 species